UACGGAGGGUGCAAGCGUUGUUCGGAAUUACUGGGCGUAAAGCGCAUGCAGGUGGCUGAGUAAGUCGAAUGUGAAAGCCCCGGGCUCAACUCGGGAACUGCAUCCGAAACUGCUUGGCUAGAGUCCCGGAGGGGAGGGCAGAAUUCCCAAUGUAGGGGUGAAAUCCGUAGAUAUUGGGAGGAAUACCGGUGGCGAAGGCGGCCCUCUGGACGGUGACUGACACUCAGAUGCGAAAGCGUGGGGAGCAAACAGG
rnacentral:rRNA from 1 species